AAGAAAAGAAACCUGUGUUGGUAACCGCGGACAACUGCCCAAAGCACAUACUAAAAAAAUAAUAGCUCGCUUUUUAAAAUAUAUCCACAAUAUGAGUUUGGGCAAGUCAUCCUUGGCUACAACACUGAUUCUUUAUCU
rfam:Nicotiana attenuata strain TT scaffold02762, whole genome shotgun sequence.